rnacentral:tRNA from 1 species
UCCCUGGUAGCUCAGAUGGUAAAGAAUCUGCCUGCAGUGCAGGAGAUCCAGGCUCAAUCUCUGGUCAGGAAG